rnacentral:lncRNA from 1 species
UGCUUGACAUUCUUGUAGCAAUGGGAAUAGUAAAAUCGAAUCAUUUCUGGCUCGACGUGGAGCACGUCCAGGAAGCUCUUCAGAACAUGUUAGUGAUUGUGGAGAUGGUUUUCUUCUCACGCUUGAUGCAAUAUGCAUACACAGCUGCACCUUACCGCAAUGCUUCAGUUUCAGAAACCAGUGACAAAAAGAAAGAGUGAUUGGAAAUCUUAAGGUAUACAAAGAACUUCUAGAAAAUUAUCCAAACACGUUCAAAAGUAUCUUCUUAGCCUCAAAAACAAUUUUUUUGGCUUUUUAAAAGCCUUGCAAAACAUGUCCCAUAUAUAGGUGGAAUUGGUAGCUUGCUGGUAGCUUGCGUGUUCUUUGCUUUCUCUCCUCUUCAAACAUUUAUCGAUUGUGAAAUGAUUAUUUAGAUGCGUUUUCUAUCCUUUCCCAGGGAAUUCUGCUUGACAUUCUUGUAGCAAUGGGAAUAGUAAAAUCGAAUCAUUUCUGGCUCGACGUGGAGCACGUCCAGGAAGCUCUUCAGAACAUGUUAGUGAUUGUGGAGAUGGUUUUCUUCUCACGCUUGAUGCAAUAUGCAUACACAGCUGCACCUUACCGCAAUGCUUCAGUUUCAGAAACCAGUGACAAAAAGAAAGAGUGAUUGGAAAUCUUAAGGUAUAUUUCGAGCAACAUUAUAGUUGUAUUGUGGUGUGUACUGGUGCCAUUCAUGUCGAGACUCAGAUGCAUUAUGUUUGCGCAUGU